GCAGCAGGUCGGUUUGUCGCUCUUCGCAAGAAGGGAGGAAAGUCCGGGCAACGCAGAGCGCCAUACUUCCUAACGGGAAGCUGUUCGUGAGGGCAGAUGAGCGUAACAGAAAAUAACCGCCCUGUAAGGGGUAAGGGUGAAAAGGCGGGGUAAGAGCCCACCGGGUGCCGUGGCAACACGGUGUGCCGUACGCGUUAUGGGUUGCAAGGCCAUGUAUACCGGAUGAUCAGGGUUGCUCGCCCGAUGCCGGGGGGUAGGCCGCUAAAGGAGGAUGGCGACAUCGCUCCGCAGAUAAAUGACAAACAUCCCGAUAUUUUCGGGAUACAGAACCCGGCUUACAGACCGGCUGCUUUU
rnacentral:RNase_P_RNA from 5 species